AAAAUCAAAAAAACCCAACAGAUCCUGAUGUGGAAGUCCGAAAAUCACUUGCUGAGCACUUACUGUAUGCCAUGUAAUCUACCAGGGCCUGGAGAUGCAGUGAUGGAGCAAAGAUAGACGUAGUCACUUUUCAUAUGGGUUUACUUGAAUCUUUUAGAAAGUCAGGUAUUCAUGGGUUCUUGGCCUUUUGGCUAAGAUCGGGUGUGGAAAGUUAGAUAUUCAGUUUUAGAAGGCACAUGAACAAAAGUAAACUUUAAGUGUGACAGAUGCCCCAGGGUUGGAGGUAUACGGUGCUGUGAGAGGCUGUGUUAGGGGCAUCUGUUCUAGAUCGAAGGUCAGAGAAGCCUUCCCCUGGAGUGGCAAUGGAGCUACAGUCUGAAGGGACAAUAGGAAGUCACUAGGGGAAGAGGUAGAGGAGAGCAUUCCAGGCAGGGAGAAUGGCAUGUACAAAGGUCCCAUAAAGAAGAGACUGUAUGUCUCUGGUAUGCAAGGGACUGAAAGAUCAUGCAGAAGGACCCCUGGCACCUUGCCCUACCACUAUUAUAAUUGAGGGUACACAUUGCAUACAGAGGGGAGAAUAAAAACAACUUCGCAUCCUUAAAUGACCUUAAAAAAGUCAGAAAAACCACAUGUAAUCCUACUUUUCAAAAUGAAUAAAACUUUGAGCCAUGUUUCAAAAGUUAAAAACAACUUUAUCUCUGACUUUUGUAACUUUGAUGUCUUCAGAUUUAUAACAAUAGUUGAAGAUAUGAUUAUCGAGUGAGGAACUUCUGGCUUUUGAGCAAUGAAAAUAAUAAACGUAUUUGUAACUUUAUAACAUUUUUAUUUACAUACCUACAUUUUCCUUUAUUCAGGGUGCCCCACUCCUCAGAAGGUUGGACUCUUGCAAACAGUGUAAGGCUCAUUUCCUAGGGCUUGAAUCUCCCUCUAGGUUCUCUCUUGAUGGUGCUAGUGUGACUGGAAUGACUCCAAGUGACUCUAGAGGGAGGUAGUUGGGGCCAGCUCACAGAGUCCUGCAGGUUACGCUUAGAAGUCUUGUCUUUACCUUGAGAUCAAGGAGGAAGCCCCUGGGGUCACGGGGACAUGAUCUCUUACACUUUGAGAUCAUCUCUCUGCUUGCAGAGUGAAGAGUGCAUCAGAGAUGUAAGACAGAGUAAGUGCAAGUGUGUGAGAAAAUAGGUUCUACUUACAUAAAUGGGUUAGAAAAAAGCUUAGGGCGGAAAGCCCCCUCCACAAGGCAAAAACGCCUGAGGUUCACUUGCGAGAUGCUAUAAUGGGUUCACAAGUAACUUGUUAUAUCACCUGCAGGAAAUUAGCUUCCAUCUCGCGCCAAUAUACUAUUGUGCUUUGAUCACAAACUCCACUUGCUCCCCAGACCCUUUGCUUCUGACACCUACAAGUUAAUGAUUACUAUCUGAUUGUUUUCUCCACGUUCACCUGUGUAAGAUCUUGUUUUCUUCAUGUUCACCACGUGGGUAAAAAUCUGUUCUCCUCACGUUCACCACGUGGGUAAGAUCUUGUGCGCUCAAUAAGUAAGUGACACACGGCCUGUUGGGGGCUCCUGUUUCCCCCCGGAUGCUAUCUUUCAUAUUUGCUUCUGUGUCCGCUCUCUUGCUGGCCAACGUGGAACUCCAGACUCAAAGUCUGUGACACAACAAUUAUGGAAGGUAGAUAUUAUCAUCCUUUUCUCGCUAAAGAAGAACCAAGACUCUGACAGGUUAAAUGACCUGCUGAAACAUACAGAUGGUGGUGGCAAAGGUUGAAAUCCAGUCCACGGAUCUCCUAAGUCUACGAUGGCACAAGAAUUUCUGAAGAAAGUCGCCAAGCCUUGCUGUUUGGUCCACUCUCAAGUCACACCAGCUUUAACAAGGCCUUCCCCGGUGCUGCUGCUCGUGCUUUUUGUCCUCUCAUUCCCACUCCUCGACAUCCACUUUCCACUUCCUCCCGCCAGCCCCUCUCUGACCUCCUUCACCCUCCGCUCCUACCCUGCCACUCCUCUUAGAAGGUUAAGGAGUCCAUGGGGUGCCCGGGUGGCUCAGUCGGUUAAGCUCCAACUCUUGAUUUCGGCUUAGGUCAUGAUCUCAUGGUUUGUGGGUUCAUGAUGACAAGGUGGAGCCUGCCUGGGAUUCUCUCUCCCUCACUCUGCCCUUCUCCCAUGCUCUAUUUCUCUCAAAAUAAAUAAACUUAAAAAAAAAAUGUCAGAAAGUCCAGCACAAUCCUUCUCAGCUUCCUUGUCUCAUUCUUGUCUUUCUGCAUCUUGUUUCUUCUUUCCUCAUUUAUCAUUUCAUCUAUAAAGGAUUUACUGGGAACCUUCUAUGUCCUAGGCACAGUGCAGCCUGUAAUCCUGUUCUCACUGUGCAUUCAGGGAAAGCUGAUUAAAAAAACAGGCAAGCAAGCAAAUAUAUACAGUAUACCAAUAUAUGAGACAGGAUAGUUAUAAAUUGCAACAGGAGCCAUGAGGGAAAUUAACCAGGUCCAAAGAGAGAGAAACAGAAAGAGGAAGAGGUGAUCUGUUUCUUUCCAGGGCUUUCUUCCCUCUGCACAUUGUGAUUCCUGCCUGGUUUGCUUCCCUGAUCUAAUUACUGUCCUUUCUCUCUCUUACUUCCAAUCCUUUCCUUCUGCCUACAAAUAGAAUUGACUCACUCCCACUGUAAAACAUAUCUUCAUGAUUCUAAGAUUGUUUUACAAUUGGGUGUUUGUUUCCACCUCCCUACUGAAACUGGACCUUCCAUUAAACUGAUAUAGACUUAAAGUCUAAAUCCCGUGGCCUUUGCUUAGUAUUCUUGACUUGCUUAUGAGACUGGGUCUCUUUUGAUCUAAACCCAUUCCUUCCCUGAUUUCUGUGAAGUGGAACCAACCUUGUUCUCGAAACUUUCCAAAUGUGCAUCUCUUCUUGUCUUUCUCUUCUACAUCUUCACACUCCCCUCCUUUGUGACAUUUUUUAUUUUCCCCAGGCAGAAGUGACCAGGCCCCUUCUCUGCUGUCUCACAGUUCUGUCCUUAACAAGUGGCUGCCCUCACUGCCCUUCUGGAGCAUUUUCCUUUUCCUUUCUGGGCCUACAAUAUGUCCAAGGGCAAGAACUGUGAAUUCAGCCUUCUGAUCCCACCCCAGGGCUUUGCCAUGGAGGCAUUCAAUAAGUAUUUAGAAGGGAUUGCUGUUAGCAAUGGUAUUCGGUAGAUAUCCUUAAGUAACCUCUCAAGAUAUUUCUUAAUUAACUUGAUGUAUUUGUGCAUUUCAUGGAUGUUAGGACCUGGAAGCUGGGAAUUUGAUAUUUCAACUGGGGGAGAACUGGAUUCUAAAAGUAAAAGCCAGGGCCAUCUGUAGUCCUGGUGCCUAUGAACAGGACCUCAGUAAAGGCUGCCAUAGCAACACACAGCGUUGCUUUGUUUUAGUCGGCAUAAAUUAACCUUUUAAAACAUAUGACUGGAAAGGGUUAUGUUAUUUUUGUAAAGUGUAUAAUUACAUUUUUGCUUUGAGAUAUCCUUCCCCCCCGCCCCACAUCCCCACUAUUAUGACUCUGGUGGCUCAUUAUGACUGCGCUCCUCUGAUAUUUUCGCCUCCCAAUGAACAGAAGCAACUUGUUGGAUCACAUCUGGCAUGUUAAUAGAUGUAUCUUUGCACAGUAAAAUGCUAAAUGAUGUGCUGUGGAUGCAUGGGUGUUGUCAGGCUUUGCAGGGGGAGAGAGCUUGAUGUUCAGAAAGUGUUUAUGGCAGUGAGACUAAUGAGUGGCCUCUCAGGGCUUGUUUGAUUCAGCCAGACUGAGAGUGAGAUGAUAGGGCCCUUCAGGUGACACAGAGUAUGGACUGGGGCAGUUAACAGGAAUGUGGAUCUUACGUAUAGAUGAACCAAACUGCCAGCCCCAGGUUUGUUCAUAAUCUUUGAACUCUACUGAGUUUUACUUGAGUAUAUGAAGACCCAACCACAAAUCAGUAAGAACUAGACAGAGAAAAGCAUUUCUACUGAUUUUUUUUUAAACAUGCUUCAAAAUGCUCCUUUUUUCCCCCAAGUCCUAUUCACAAAUCCUGUUCCUCUCUCUAAUCAAUAUGAUGACAAGUGGGUGGAAUAAUGGGGCAUAAAUGGAUAGCACCUUAUGAGUAAAAACCAACCUUCAAACAUUGUCCAAAAAGGUUUUUUUAAAAACAUAUCUUUUGAUAUUUCAAAAUAGGCCACAAUUAGACCUUAACAAUCCCAAACUCUCAUGUUAUGUGCCAGAUGUAGGAAAAGAAAUAUUCGUCCCUUUUCCCAUGAUUAUCCAUGUGUAGAGGUGUCUAUUAUUUGGAGGCCUGUUUAACAUAGUCAUCCAAACUCUGUGAGCUGAGAGGGGCAAAGUUGCAGGAAAGCCUUCAAAUAUUUGGUUAUGCAUGAUCAUUCUGCCUGGGAGCAAAUGGACAAAGUAUGGCACAUUUGAAUUUUUCUGAGGUCAUUUUCUAAUUUUAUGCUAAUAUUAGAUGCCAAUGUGAUUAAUAAUAUAACCUAUCAGUUUUAGCCACUUGAUAAUUCUUCUCACUAGGCUCACGUAUAACACCAUUUUUCCCCAUGAGAAACCCAAAUUAUUUUAUAAAUUUUCACUUGCUAAAUAAACAACAAUUCUCACACUCUGAGAGCAAGACAAGUGCAAUUGCAUUUCAAUGAGUCUAGAAAAGGAGAUGCUCUUUCUUAUUUAAUAUUUUUAGUUCCACCUGUUCUUCUCAGAUACAUUUUUACUUUACUCUUUGAUAGUUUCCUUUGCUGAAUCCCCUUUCCCACCCAAUUCUUUUGAAUCUGUAAUUGAAAGUGCUUUCUGUAGCUCUCCAAGCAACUUUAAACCCAAGACUCUUGUGUUUUACCAUCCAAAGCAGUAGAAUCUACCACUUCCUGCCUCUACCACCAAGCUCCUGUUUCGUGAACUUCAAUAGACUGCAAAGACCUCAAAGGCAGGGAUAGAGGCUGAUCCACAUUUGUAUCCCUGGGGUUGAGCUCAAUGCUUGGCAGUUGGAGAUCCUCAUUAAGUGCUGUUUGAACAAAAACAACAACAACAACAAGAAAUGCGUGGGUGACCAUUCCAUUCUAGACCACUUCAUUAGAAAUUUAUGAGGUCCAUGUAGGAGAUGUAAGAAUGGGAAACUAUUUAACACAACGCCUCACCCCCCUCCCCUUUGGUAACCAUCAGUUUGUUCUCUAUAAUUAAGAGACUCUUU